UACGAAGGGGGCUAGCGUUGCUCGGAAUCACUGGGCGUAAAGGGUGCGUAGGCGGGUCUUUAAGGGAGGGGGGAAAUCCUGGAGCUCAACUCCAGAACUGCCUUUGAUACUGAAGAUCUUGAGUUCGGGAGAGGUGAGUGGAACUGCGAGUGUAGAGGUGAAAUUCGUAGAUAUUCGCAAGAACACCAGUGGCGAAGGCGGCUCACUGGCCCGAUACUGACGCUGAGGCACGAAAGCGUGGGGAGCAAACAGG
rnacentral:rRNA from 1 species